rnacentral:rRNA from 1 species
UGGGGAAUAUUGCACAAUGGGCGAAAGCCUGAUGCAGCGACGCCGCGUGAGGGAUGACGGCCUUCGGGUUGUAAACCUCUUUCAGCAGGGAAGAAGCGAAAAGUGACGGUACCUGCAGAGAAGCGCCGGCUAACUACGUGCCAGCAGCCGCGGUAAUACGUAGGGCGCAAGCGUUGUCCGGAAUUAUUGGGCGUAAAGAGCUCGUAGGCGGUUAGUCGCGUCUGCUGUGAAAACUCGAGGCUCAACCUCGGGCUUGCAGUGGGUACGGGCUGACUAGAGUGCGGUAGGGGUGACUGGAAUUCCUGGUGUAGCGGUGGAAUGCGCAGAUAUCAGGAGGAACACCGAUGGCGAAGGCAGGUCACUGGGCCGCAACUGACGCUGAGGAGCGAAAGCAUGGGGAGCGAACAGGAUUAGAUAGCCCUGGUAGUCCAUGCCGUAAACGUUGGCACUAGGUGUGGGUCCAUUCCACGGAUUCCGUGCCGCAGCAAACGCAUUAAGUGCCCCGCCUGGGGAGUACGGCCCAAGGCUAAAACUCAAAUGAAUUG